UAUUGUUGGUAUCGGGAGAGACGAGAAACGAGAGGGAGUGCUCUUAGAGAUAGAGUUUUAUUUAUUUCAAUUAAAUCAUCGAACAAUCCAAUUUAAAAUCUUCCCCAUAUUAAAACGCGCCUGAAAAUCCGUUAUCCUGUACUUGUAUUUCGCGGGAAAAGAUGUCGGGGAAGGGGGCGAAGGGGCUGAUUAUGGGCAAGACCGCCACCAACAGCGGCGGCAAAGACGAAGGACAAGAAGAAACCCAUCUCUCGUUCCUCCCGCGCCGGCCUUCAGGAGGGGUUUUGAGUAAAUUUGUGAAAUAAGAGGUAAAAAGAUGGAAACUUGACUCGGGCUUUUGCUUGUUUUGGCGGUAAAUCUUAUCACUAUAACAGUUGGGGUUUCAUGAAUCAUAUAGUGAAAGACUUGAAUGUUUCAGUUGUUUGAGCAACCAUUAGAGGUGAAUAUAGCUUCCUUUGGGAUGCCAUUUGGAUUGAAUGAGUUUUGUUUUGGUUUUUUACAAUAAGAACUCAUGAUUGGAUUAAGUAGAAUUAGAACCGUAAAUGCUAGGUGCACUCUUUCUUUUGGUGCACUCAAUGAUUGGAGAGUGGGAGCAACUGCCGCAGUUUAUUCUGCAGCUAUCUUGGAGUAUCUUACUGCUGAGGUGUUAGAGUUGGCAGGCAAUGCGAGCAAGGAUCUCAAGGUGAAACGCAUCACCCCGAGGCAUUUGCAGCUUGCUAUUCGUGGUGACGAGGAACUCGACACCCUGAUCAAGGGAACCAUUGCUGGUGGAGGUGUGAUCCCUCACAUUCACAAGUCACUUAUCAACAAGUCGACCAAGGAGUAGCUACUACAAACGGACUACAGCUCCAGAAGAGUGCUUCUACAAGGAACAGAGCCUCUUCGUGACUUUAAUGACAUAUAAUCUUUUCGAUUCUGUAUGUCAUCAUCCGACAUUUUUUAUUAAAUCGUAGGCUUACUUCAAGAAAUCGGUCAUCAUGUGACAGUGUCAUGAUUCUACCGGAGACAUGUUUGGACGACCUGUUGUUAUUUAUAAGGAGAUGUACCAAUCUGUGAUUUGGAUGAA